rnacentral:rRNA from 1 species
ACUACAGGCUUAACACAUGCAAGUCGAGGGGCAGCAUUAUCGAAGCUUGCUUUGAUAGAUGGCGACCGGCGCACGGGUGAGUAACGCGUAUCCAACCUUCCCUAUAGUAGAGAAUAGCCCGGCGAAAGUCGGAUUAAUGCUCUAUGUUGUAUUUAGAGGACAUCUGAAGAAUACCAAAGGUUUACCGCUAUAGGAUGGGGAUGCGUCUGAUUAGGUAGUAGGCGGGGUAACGGCCCACCUAGCCGACGAUCAGUAGGGGUUCUGAGAGGAAGGUCCCCCACAUUGGAACUGAGACACGGUCCAAACUCCUACGGGAGGCAGCAGUGAGGAAUAUUGGUCAAUGGACGAAAGUCUGAACCAGCCAAGUAAGCGUGCAGGAUGACGGCCCUAUGGGUUGUAAACUGCUUUUAUAUAGGGAUAAAGUCGGGGACGUGUCCCCGUUUGUAGGUACUAUAUGAAUAAGGACCGGCUAAUUCCGUGCCAGCCGCCGC